UACGUAGGUGGCAAGCGUUGUCCGGAUUUACUGGGCGUAAAGGGCGUGCAGGCGGUCUGUUAAGUGCAGGGUGAAAGCUCCCGGCUCAACUGGGAGAGGUCCUUGCAUACUGGCGGACUUGAGGGGGGUAGAGGAAAGUGGAAUUCCCGGUGUAGUGGUGAUAUGCGUAGAUAUCGGGAGGAACACCUGUGGCGAAGGCGGCUUUCUGGGCCCCUACCUGAC
rnacentral:rRNA from 1 species